rnacentral:rRNA from 1 species
AUGAUGGCGCAGGGCCGCAAGUCUGCCGCUGCCCUCGAGGCCCUUCUCCAGGUCCAGGACCACGCCGGGAUGCGGGAGCUCGCCGCCGAGAUCCUCCGCUGCUGCGACCGCGCCCUCGCCGCCCUCCACGGCAAACCUGCUGGCCGGCAUAAGCGCAAGCCGGCCCCCCACGGCGGCGCAGCCACUACUCAGACAAGGCCCAAAACAAGGACGCACGCGAGCAGCGGAGGGACGACGAGGGUGGAGAGGACGAGGAGCUGGGACGACGGCUUCAUGUGGACCAAGUACGGGCAGAAGCACAUCCAGGGCAACCACCACCCGAGGCACUACUUCAGGUGCGCCUACGCGCUCCACGCCGGCGGCUGCCCGGCCACCAGGCAUGUCCAGCGAUCUCCGGAGCUCGACCCUCCCAUCUACGUCCUCACCUACUUCGCCGCCCACACCUGCUCCCGCGCGGCCACCAUCGCGAAGGACGUCAAGAUGCAGCCGCCGCUCGUCCUCGGCUUUGGGUCGACGGCCGCACCAAGCGGCUGCUCGCCUUGUUGGCUCAACUACGGCGAUAAUGUUUGGGGUGAGAUCUCACGCUCACAGGAGCUCCGAGCUGAGGUGACCAGAGUUGAGUCAACGCCGUCGUCAGACUUGCCGCCGGCGGGGCCGGCGGUGGUGGCGCAGCUGAGCUCGUCGGCAGACGACGCCCGUUGUUCCUCCUCCCCUGCUGCAUGGGACCCAUCGGCGGCCGACUGGGAUUACUUCGGGAACAACUCGUCGGAUUAUGUUAGAGAGUUCUUCGAUUUCGAAGACGGUGUCUUGUACCAAUAG